rnacentral:lncRNA from 1 species
UGUAGUCAAAACAAUUCAUCCAUAGUAGGUCACAUCCACAUUUCCUCAACAGUUUACACCCAAAACGCCGCAACCAUUACAGGUACCGCAAGGAGAAUGCUUGCAUUGAUUUCCCUCAGUUUGACAGUAACCGAAUCCGAACAUCUUUAGCUCUGCAUGCAACAACAGCUUGUGAUAAGUAUUAAAACCAGCACUUGGGUUUGAACACAUCUCUAGCUCUGCAUGCAACAACAGCUUGUGAUAAGUAUUAAAACCAGCACUUGGGUUUGAACACGGUCACAGAUCCUACCUUCAGAACACGAAGUUGAAUGCUUUUGUGUUCCUUCAUGCUGUUGACUUCCGUUGCACUACG